rnacentral:misc_RNA from 1 species
GUGAAUCAUCAAAUUUUUGAACGCAAAUUGCACUCUCUUCGGAGAGUAUGCCUGUUUGAGGGUCAGCCUAAAAAAAAUCGACAUAGUCGCUGUUUCGCGGUGACAUUCUUCUUAAAUUUUUUCAUCUUAAACCUUUUUUUUUUAAUCUUCUUAAAAUUUUCUUUACUAUUCCACUAACUUUUCUAAUAUUUACUUCUUAUACUUUUAAUUUAUCUAUCUUUAUUAUACUUUUCCUUUUCAUCUUAUCUCUUCCAUAAAUAUUUCUUUAACUUACCUCAUACAUUUAAUAACACCCUCUUAA